AGCUCCGAAUGGAUUCCAAGACCAACAGGAUUUAUAAGGGAAAGAGGCCUAAUCUGGGGACAUUGGGUGGUGUGUGGAAAGGCAGGGAGGGCCUCUGUAAGGGGAAAGAUUUGAGGGGCUAGGGCUGAACCUCACUGUCCUCACCCUGCCUACAGUGCCCUGGGGGUGGCUCUGGUCUUGAGCCUACUGUUUAUCUUGCUUCUGCGCCUGGUGGCUGGGCCCCUGGUGCUGGUGCUGAUCCUGGGAGUGCUGGGCGUGCUGGCAUACGGCAUCUACUACUGCUGGGAGGAGUACCGAGUGCUGCGGGACAAGGGCGCCUCCAUCUCCCAGCUGGGUUUCACCACCAACCUCAGUGCCUACCAGAGCGUGCAGGAGACCUGGCUGGCCGCCCGGCUGUGGGACAGAUGAUGUCUACCAUGUUCUACCCACUGGUCACCUUUGUCCUCCUCCUCAUCUGCAUUGCCUACUGGGCCAUGACUGCUCUGUACCUGGCUACAUCGGGGCAACCCCAGUAUGUGCUCUGGGCAUCCAACAUCAGCUCCCCCGGCUGUGAGAAAGUGCCAAUAAAUACAUCAUGCAACCCCACGGCCCACCUUGUGAACUCCUCGUGCCCAGGGCUGAUGUGCGUCUUCCAGGGCUACUCAUCCAAAGGCCU
rnacentral:lncRNA from 1 species